UACAGAGGUCUCAAGCGUUGUUCGGAUUCAUUGGGCGUAAAGAGCUCGUAGGCGGCCACUCAAGUCGAAUGUGAAACCUCGAGGCUUAACCUCGAGCCUGCAUUCGAUACUGGGCGGCUAGAGUCUGGUAGGGGGAUCUGGAAUUCCUGGUGUAGCGGUGGAAUGCGCAGAUAUCAGGAGGAACACCGGUGGCGAAGGCGGGAUCCUGGGCCAGUACUGACGCUGAGGAGCGAAAGCGUGGGGAGCAAACAGG
rnacentral:rRNA from 1 species